GAUGAACGCUGGCGGCGUGCUUAACACAUGCAAGUCGAACGGAAAGGCCCAAGCUUGCUUGGGUACUCGAGUGGCGAACGGGUGAGUAACACGUGGGUGAUCUGCCCUGCACUUCGGGAUAAGCCUGGGAAACUGGGUCUAAUACCGGAUAGGACCACUUCUAGGACGUUGUGGUGGAAAGUUUUAUCGGUGUGGGAUGAGCUCGAGGCGUAUCAGCUUGUUGGUGGGGUAAUGGCCUACCAAGGCGUCGCCGGGUAGCCGGCCUGUGAGGGUGUACGGCGGCACUGACUCUGAGGGGCGGCAGCGGCUCCUACUCGAGGCAGCAGUGCGGAAGAUUGCACGAGCAGCGCCGGCCUGAUGCUGCGGCGCCGCGUGGGGGAUGACGCCGUUCGUGUUGUAGACUACUUGCGCUAGUGACGAUGCGUUUUGUGACGGUACCUGGAGAGGAAGCCCCGGCUAACUACGUG
rnacentral:rRNA from 1 species